AGUUUAAUUUUAUAUAUAUAGGAAAUCUAACUCCAGGGCCUAUCCACUCUUAACCAGCUCCAGCUGGAACUAGACACAGCUGACGCCAAAUUCCCGGAAAACAACCCGGGCAAACAUCUUAUUGUUUAGCCUACCUGCCCCUUGGAGGAUCGGGGAGUCUUAAAAUGACCUUGAUUAGUGAGGACAGGUGAAAUGGAUUUGACUAAUGAUUACCCACAGUCCCACGGGGCGGCUCUUUCAGGAGUCUGGGCAGGAGAUGAUGGUGGCGGCAGAGAAGGAGACGUCGACCUAUGUGUUGGGGACAUGGCUCGGAUCGUCCCUGUCGAAAAAUGAGACACAGGAACACGGGGAGAUCUCGACAAGGCUCUUUACCUCUGCAGAAGGGCGCAGAUUCCACAUAUAAGUGAAAAUCACCUUUAGGACAGUGUACCUUGGUUUAGUGUAUGUCUGCUAUACAUCAGUUUUAAAAAGUUCAGGAAAGUGGAGUUCUUAAUGUGAAGAAGCCUCAGGAAUAUCUUCAACCAAUAUAUUUUGCAACAUAAUUUUCCUUUGUAUGUAUAUCCAAAGUGACAGAUAAUAAAAACAAAUGUCUAAACAAGCCCAAAAGUACUCUUUCAAUAUCUUUAUGAAAUAAACACCGUUAAGUACUCAAAA